rnacentral:rRNA from 1 species
CGCGUAGUUAGCCGGAGCUUUCUUGCAGGGUACCGUCAUUUUCGUCCCCUGCGACAGAACUUUACAACCCGAAGGCCGUCUUCAUUCACGCGGCAUCGCUGCAUCAGGGUUUCCCCCAUUGUGCAAUAUCCCCCACUGCUGCCUCCCGUAGGAGUCUGGGCCGUGUCUCAGUCCCAAUGUGGCCGUUCAACCUCUCAGUCCGGCUACCGAUUGUCGGUUUGGUGGGCCGUUACCCCGCCAACUGCCUAAUCGGACGCGAGCCCAUCUUUCAGCGGAUUGCUCCUUUGAUAUCAGUGCCAUGCGACUCCGAUAUUUUAUGCGGUAUUAGCGUUCGUUUCCAAACGUUAUCCCCCUCUGAAAGGCAGGUUGCUCACGUGUUACUCACCCGUCCGCCACUAAGUUCAGAUGCGAGCAUCUUCACUCCGUUCGACUUGCAUGUGUUAGGCGUGCCGCCAGCGUUCGUCCUGAGCCAGGAUCAAACUCU